ensembl:snoRNA small nucleolar RNA SNORA2/SNORA34 family
AUGGUCCCAAAACAAUGCCAGCUAUUUGUUGUAGCUGCUGGUUUCAAACAGCAGUCUAAAGAGAAGUCUUUCUAGGGUCUCUUGGCUAUUUCAGAACUUUGGAAAUGUAAUGGUCAAUUCAUUACAAAGAAAUAGUU